GGGUGCGAUCAUACCCAAUAAUGCACCGGAUCCCAUCAGAACUCCGAAGUUAAGCUUGCUUGGGCGAGAGCAGUACUAGGAUGGGUGACCUCCUGGAAGUCCUCGUGUUGCACCCCUC
rnacentral:rRNA from 1 species